rnacentral:lncRNA from 1 species
AAUACUUUUAAUUUCAAAUUAAUAGUAUUGUUGCAACUUUAUACAUUUGGAUUUUAUUUUGUUUUAAUUAUUUAUAUUCUUUUCUUAUUUAUUUUUGUGCCUUAAUCUUUUUCUUAUCCAUUUUAUAAACUAUAUGAUUACAUAUUUUACCAAUAUAUUUUAUAUAUACAGAUUGAAUAUUUCAAUUUGAAAUUCAAAAUGUUCCUAAUUCCAAAACUUUUUAAACACCAACAUGAAAAUUCCCAUCUGUUCUUAUGUAACAGGUCACAGUCAAAACACAGGCAUACUGCAAAUAUUGUAUGUAAUUGCUUUCAGGUCAUGUGUAUAAGGUACCUAGAAAACAUAAGUGAGCUUCGUGUUUAAACUUUUCCCAACUCUAAGAUAUCUCAUUAUUUAUGUUUAACUAUUCAAAAUCUAAAGAUGUCUGAAAUCUGAAACACUUCUGGUGCUCAGCAUUUAUUAUAAAGAAUAAUCAAAUUAUAUUGUCAUUAUAUCUAAAAAGUUAUGUUUCCAAAUCUAUGAUAAAUGAUGUAUAGUUUACUGUUUAUUCAGGAACUGCAAGUGACGUAUGAGAGUUGAAUUUAUUUAAAUUAUUUCUGGAAUUCAGGCAACAAAUUCUGUGUUAUUCAAAUGUAUAACUUUGCAACAUAUAACCAUUUCACAGAUGGUUAUAUGUAGCAAUAUGUAACAAUAUGACAAAUCUUUGCUUGUGUUCUUUACACAUUUUUGUUUAAAAACUGAUCCAUAUGACUAUUUAAAAAUAUUAAACUGGACAUAUUUUGCUAAAACCAUCAAAUGUGAUUGUUUUUGAAGGUAUUAGUGGGCUUUUAUGAAAAUUACUGUCUAAAGGCAGAUGAACUGAUAUAAGAGGUUAGAAUAAAACAAAAGAAAGAAUAAAAAUGGUGAAAGAACCAUACUAUCUCCAAGUCUACUAUAGACAAGCUUUAUAUUGGAUUUAUUUUCUAUUUUACUAGCAUAGACUUUCUCAAAGAGGCUGACCACUGAGUAGAGCAUCACCAGUUCUCUUCUUCAAUGACUGGCUUCCCUUUGAAUUUGAUCAACAUAAUAGGAAGAAGUCUCAGAAGAUGGGAGCAUGAAAGAUGAGAGAGGGCUCUGGGUUUGCCCUCUGCCAUACUGAGUAGCGCAGUUCUAAAGUUAAUCAGCACCUCUAUCCUCAUCUUGAACUGAGCUGCUGAGUCAUCAUGGAUCCUGUGUUUGGCACAUGUGUCCUGGGUCUCCAUGAAUUUGGCAGAUUUUUGCUGGUAGGUUAAUUGGUUUUGCCCCAGACCUAACCUCCUACCACAAAUUCAUAUGCUUCUUUUUUUUUGCCUUGACAUUUGUACUGAUGCUAGUGUG